CUGAAAUCAGGUAGGAGUACCC
rnacentral:rRNA from 1 species